AUUGAACGCUGGCGGCAUGCCUUACACAUGCAAGUCGAACGGUAACAGGUCUUCGGAUGCUGACGAGUGGCGAACGGGUGAGUAAUGCAUCGGAACGUGCCCAAUCGUGGGGGAUAACGUAGCGAAAGUUACGCUAAUACCGCAUACGAUCUAAGGAUGAAAGCGGGGGAUCGCAAGACCUCGCGCGAAUGGAGCGGCCGAUGUUAGAUUAGGUAGUUGGUGGGGUAAAGGCGCACCAAGCCGACGAUCUAUAGCUGGUCUGAGAGGAUGAUCAGCCACACUGGGACUGAGACACGGCCCAGACUCCUACGGGAGGCAGCAGUGGGGAAUUUUGGACAAUGGGCGCAAGCCUGAUCCAGCCACUCCGCGUGCAGGAUGAAGGCCCUCGGGUUGUAAACUGCUUUUGUACAGAACGAAAAGCUCUGGGUUAAUACCCUGGGGUCAUGACGGUACCGUAAGAAUAAGCACCGGCUAACUACGUGCCAGCAGCCGCCGUAAAAC
rnacentral:rRNA from 1 species